GAGGAUAUGUUAAUUUGUCCAGACUAAUUUACAGUAAAUAAAAUCAUAUCUGAGUAUUUACACUUGGAGAUAAAAGGUGUUCAAAGUUUAUUAAAUAUCUUAUUCUCUGUAACAACUAAAUACCACAGGUUAAAUUUUGUGUGGACAAUCUUUCUAUGUCAGAUAAAUUAAAAGAAGUAACUUCAUUGUAUUACCUUAUGUUUUAUUUGAAGAAAAUGAAAACUGACCAGAAUCCAGGGAUUUGCUGUUUUCAGAAUAUUGUUUGUAAAGCAAGUUUCACAGCAGAUGUUUAACUUUUAAAAGGUAGCAUGUUAUGCUCUUCACAUGGUUUCUUGUAUGCUUUUCAUCUUGUAAUACUAAGGAAAAGCUUACAUGCUAGAGAAACACAAACUUUUGGACCUGAACAUGACUGCAUUAUGGAAUAAAGCCUCAAGGUCUUUAGCCUUCAACAUGCUUUGCUCUAUAUGUUUAUUCAACUGAAUUUUCUAUGAUAUUUUAUUUUGUAAUUAAAAAAAGUUCAUUCACUAAACAAAUAGACUGGGAUUACAGCUUGCCAUUCUGUAAGUAUGUUUUUUGGCCUUUUUUUUUAAAAUGUUGAAUAGAAAUAGUGUAAUUUAAAAAAUAAAUAAAGGAAUAUAAACUCCAUAAUAUUCCAGCCACUUUAUAAGUUUAAGCCUUCUCCCUUGCCCUCCAUCAAAGAAAUUUGCUCUGAUAUGGUGCUCAGACUAGGAAACCUGAAAUUAGGUCACGAAAAUUUAUAAAGUAUUUGAAAUAAAAUAUUUUUUUAUUUUGCUAAAAGUCCAUAAUUUCCAAAUAUUCCUUUCUGGGUGGGAAAUUCCAUUUAUGUCCUGCAUGCUGCUACAAAUGAACACCCAAGAAGAAGUUAAUAAUUUCCAAAGCAAUACAUUCAAAUACCUCUUGGGAUGUGUGUAAUAUGAUGACAAGGUGUAGAACAUCUGGACUCCAACUCCAGAGGUACCUACCCAUGUAAUAGUCAUGGACUGACUCAAGAGGAUCUACCUCGAGAGAAUGCUGCUCCUGGGUGUCGGUUGCCUCAGGCUGGUCAGUGUGGUGAUCAGUCUGGGUCAGACUGUGGACACUGAGGUGAAGCAUGGCCACCAGCAAGCACAGUGGGAGCAUGGCCUUCAUCAUUCUUCACAGAUACUGCGUGGACAAAGAACAAAAGGUCUUGGAUGCUGGAGAUGGGUUCCUUCUUGUGUGUAUCCCACAUCUUGUUAUGGGAAGGUGAGACCAUUAGUGUGGGCUUGGCCUCUCCUGUCUUUGCAAGCUUCAUAUCAGCAGGAAAGUAUCCUUUCAUAAGGUAAAUAUGCCUAAGGCCAGAGUAGUGCUCAGCAGCAAGACUGGAUCAGGGCACCUUGGACAUUUGUAGUUUCACUACAAAUGUCUAAGGUGCCCUGUGUGUCCAAAAAGUGAUCACACAAAAAGUGUGAUCACUUUUUGUCUUUGUUUGCUUACUGCUUUCUCGUUUACCAGUUAAACCAAGAACAUGCUGGGUUGGUUUGUGGUGUCUAAGAUGCUUAACAUGUCAGAAAACAAGUAAGAGCUAUUCCCAUUAACAAUAUGGUACCAGUGACUAGAAAAGCUCCAAAUAGCCUUCACCUAAUGUCCUGCUUGAAACAGAUCAGCUUCAGGCAGAAGAUCAUAAGCUACCUGCUUACCAGUCAAUGGUAAAAGACACGGGUUCAGCAGAGCAGAUGAGAUGUUUACUGGGAUUCUCUCCACCCUGGGACAGCACUCUGACCACCAAGGUUUGGGUGAAAAGGAGCCAGCUUGUCUUUUUGCAGCUUUGCUCUGUGUGAUCUGAGUAAAUUGGAAUUUGCAGAGGACAUUGGCAUAGAAAGAUCAGGUUGUGAAUUCUGUCUGGGUUAUCUUAGUCUAAGCAAGUUACUUACUCAUUCCCUUCAGUUUUGGUUAUCUGAUUGUCAGCUUUAGGGAAAAUUAGUAAUGAUAAAUAAAAUUGACAGUUGAGAAGUC